CACUAUCGAAAACCUGGCACAGCAGUUGGUUUCCCAGUGUUCUCGAUUCCUCCAUGUCCUUGGUUCCCAAAACUGAGAAAAACGACGUCCCCGUCGUCGACAUUGAUAGCGACGGCGACGACGGCGUCACUGUAGCUUCGGCCAUUAAAGACGAGUUGUCGCAGAAGAUUCCAUCGUCUCAAGUCGAGCUUGUGCAGCAAGAAACCCCUGUCUCCAGUUCCGCUCUUUCUGUCUCCGACGGCCGGUUUAGAAGUUUCUGGAAAGCCGGGGAUUACGCUGUUGGUCCCUCUUCGAAGCCCACUGCCUUUCAAGGUCACUUAGAGCAUGCCCGGGUGCACCCCAAGUUUCUGCAUUCUAAUGCGACUUCCCAUAAAUGGGCUUUUGGAGCAAUUGCUGAGCUUGUGGAUAAUGCUGUUGAUGAGAUUCAAAAUGGUGCAACUUUUAUAAAGAUUGACAAGUUUGAUGUCAAGAAGGAUAAUUCACCAGCAUUAUGUUUCCUAGAUGAUGGUGGUGGAAUGGACCCUAGCUCAAUUCGAAAAUGCAUGAGCUUGGGUUAUUCAUCAAAGAAGUCAAAGACAACAAUUGGACAAUAUGGCAAUGGAUUCAAGACUAGUACCAUGAGACUGGGUGCUGAUGUUAUCGUUUUCAGUAGGGCAAGGCAUUUGGGCCGGGCAACACAAAGUGUGGGUUUACUAUCCUAUACCUUUUUGCGGAGAACUGGGCAAGAUGAUGUAGUUGUUCCAAUGAUAGAUUUUGACACAUCUGGCCAUUGGCCUGAGCCAAUUGUAUAUAGCUCACAGGAUGAAUGGACAGCGAACUUGAAAACAAUUCUUGAUUGGUCUCCUUUCACAUCAAAGGAGGAGCUCAUGCUUCAGUUUGAUGAUAUAGGAUCACAUGGAACCAAAGUUUUAAUAUACAAUUUGUGGUUGAAUGAUGAAGGGAUAUAUGAACUGACUUUUGAUGAUGAUAUGGAGGAUAUUAUGCUGAGAGAUGAGGCCAGCCAUGGGGCUGAGAAAAAAUUGAACAAAAAAACUGUUCUGCUUCAGUCUCAUAUUUCUUACCGCCUUCGUUAUUCUUUACGGGCAUAUGUUUCCAUGUUGUACCUCAGAAAAUUCUCCAACUUCAAAAUCAUACUAAGGGGUAAACUUGUGGAUCAGUACAACAUAGCAGAUAACUUGAUACAUUCAAAAGUAAUUCCGUAUAGGCCUCAGCUAGCCAUUGCAUCAAAUGAGGCCGCAGCAGAGACAAAGACAACCAUUGGAUUUAUAAAGGAGGCACCUUCUAUCAAGGUUACUGGAUUUAAUGUCUACCACAAAAAUCGCCUAAUCAAGCCCUUCUGGAAAGUUGUUGCCGAUGGUUCAUCAAAAGGGAGCUGUGUUGUUGGAGUUCUUGAAGCCAAUUUUAUAGAACCAGCGCAUGACAAGCAGGAUUUUGAGAGAUCAGUUCUGUUCAUUCGGUUGGAAAACAAGAUGAAACAAAUGACAAUGGAUUACUGGAAAGGCCACUGUCACUUGAUUGGAUAUCAGCCCCUAGAUUUCAGAUCACAAAAUGUUGUAAAAGAAGCCCAGAUACGAAAAUCAGCUGAACAUUCAACUAAUCCACAGAAUGAAUUGCCCUCUGACCAACAGUUUACUGGUGUUGUACCUGAGCAUCGAAACACCCUGAGUUUAAAUCAAACAAUUGUUGAUCUUGAUGUGACUGGCGUGCAAGAUUUAAGUCACGAGCAACUUGGUACAGUGGUGGAAACUCUACAGUCUGUAUCUGUUGAUGAAAUCUGUGCAGAAAACAUAAAACUUUUUGAGAGGUGUGAGGAGUACAGGCUAAAGGAGACACAACUGAAAAAGAUGGUUGUGGACUUGGAGGAGGAAUAUAAACAAAUCCAGAAGAAAUGUGCCGUUCUUGCUUCACUCUUGGAGACCAAGAGGAAGGAGAAGCGUGCUAAGGGAUGAUGGUUACACUACACAAGAAUCAUGUCAAUAAGAGGCAAGUUGAUUGCGUUUCGUAAUUACCUUUCAAGUAAUGUCUUAGUGUUAUAUGUUUCUGCUGUUUUUGUCAAAGAAUCAAAUCAGAUAAUUUGUCCUUGUGGAAAAGGGUUUCGAAGAGCGAAGACGACUUGUUUAAACAUCAAAAGAAUAAGAUAAUUUGUCCUUGUGGAAUAGGGUUUCGAAGAGCAAAGAGGACUUGUUUAAACAUCAAAAUCCUGAUUAUGAUACAAUUCAUCAAAUGACUAGGAUUAUUAGGCUACACUAAUACCAUUUUAGUAGUAAUUGUAAAAAAUAUUGUAAACACAAUUUAUAAAUCUUGUAUGCUUUUUACUAUGUCAGUGCCAUAUUUUCGCUACGGAAGUUAAUAUGCAAAGGACAUUUAUUCAGGUGUUUU